rnacentral:rRNA from 1 species
UACGUAGGGCGCAAGCGUUAUCCGGAAUUAUUGGGCGUAAAGAGCUCGUAGGCGGUUUGUCGCGUCUGCCGUGAAAGUCCGGGGCUCAACUCCGGAUCUGCGGUGGGUACGGGCAGACUAGAGUGAUGUAGGGGAGACUGGAAUUCCUGGUGUAGCGGUGAAAUGCGCAGAUAUCAGGAGGAACACCGAUGGCGAAGGCAGCCCCCUGGGUUAACCACUGACG